CAAUCUUAGUGGCGGACGGGUGAGUAACGCGUGGGUAACCUGCCUUACACAGGGGGAUAACACCUGGAAACAGGUGCUAAUACCGCAUAAGCGCACAGGGCCGCAUGGCCCGGUGUGAAAAACUCCGGUGGUGUAAGAUGGACCCGCGUCUGAUUAGCUUGUUGGCGGGGUAACGGCCCACCAAGGCGACGAUCAGUAGCCGGCCUGAGAGGGUGGACGGCCACAUUGGGACUGAGACACGGCCCAGACUCCUACGGAAGGCAGCAG
rnacentral:rRNA from 1 species